UUUAAUUCCACAUUUCAAAGUACAGUAACGGUCAUUCAAACAAGAUGUGUCAGAUCACUGAAAUAAAUAAUAGGCAGAAAAAAAUAAACAUAUAAAUACACACUACAGAACAUGCAGGUUUCCAAUAAAAUGUUGGUUAAAAAAAAAAAAACAGCCAUACAAGCAAAUUAUAACACAAACACAAUAAUUGUUAAUAAUAUAGAGGUCAGCUCUGGGAUGAAAAUAAUUACCAGUAAACAUAACAAGUAAUGAGGAUAUUUGGUACCAAAGAAUGUGCAGGAUACCAAAUAAAACGAGGUAGAACAUCACAUUUUCAAGCCAUUGAGUAAAGCUCUAGAAUAUUCCAUUAUAAUGGCAUUGCUGACCUGGAGCACAAGAUUUACACCAUGCUGCAUUAAGAUGUGUCUCUUGUAUCUGUGAUAAACAAAACUUGACAUACAUAUAUAAAAAUACAGAGGUAAAAACAGUAGUAGAACAGACCAUUAUAACUGCAAUGCUGACCUGUGGCACAAGGAUUUACAAGCUAUAUUUAACAAUAGAAUAACAGUUAAGCACUGUGAUGGAAUGAAAAAUGCUGAUGUUAAAAACAGAGUAAGUAGAAUAUUUGGUACCAGGUAAUGUGCAAUAUCAAGUAUCAGAGGUACGAAAUAGUAUUUCCAAGCUAUUAUUAAUUGAAUAACAGUUAAGCACAGUGAUGAAAUGAAAGUAGAAUGUUGGUACCAGUUAAUGUGCAAUAUCAAGUAACAGGUAUGAAAUAGGAUUUACAAACUAUAAUAGAAUCGUUAAGACGGAAUGGAAUAAGCCAAUACUAAAGUUAAAAUACAAAAGAAAACAGGGUGGAUUUGGUGAGUGUAGGCUUCUUGAUGUUACUGACUGCAGGAUAAAGAAAGUUUUCCAGUUCAGUGAUGCUGGUGUCAGUAGUCAGCCUAGGUUUAAGGGGUCGGCUGUGGGUCCUUCUCAGCUGUGCAGCUUUUUCCUCCUUCACGGUCUGAUGCUCCUUUCAGGUAA
rnacentral:lncRNA from 1 species